rnacentral:rRNA from 1 species
UACGUAGGGGGCGAGCGUUGUCCGGAAUUAUUGGGCGUAAAGAGCGUGUAGGCGGUUCGGUAAGUCUGCCGUGAAAACCUGGGGCUCAACCCCGGGCGUGCGGUGGAUACUGCCGGGCUAGAGGGUGGUAGAGGCGAGUGGAAUUCCUGGUGUAGCGGUGAAAUGCGCAGAUAUCAGGAGGAACACCGAUGGCGAAGGCAGCUCGCUGGGACGGUACUGACGCUGAGGCGCGAAAGCAUGGGGAGCGAACAGG